rnacentral:rRNA from 1 species
GAUGAACGCUGGCGGCGUGCUUAACACAUGCAAGUCGAACGAGAAGUGAAGACGGAACCCUUCUGGCGGAAGGCUUUAUUUCGAGUGGCGGCCGGGUGAGUAACGCGUGGGUAAUCUGCCUCAUACAGGGGGAUAACAGUUGGAAACGACUGUUAAUACCGCAUAAGACCACGGCACCGCAUGGUGCGGGGGUAAAAACUCCGGUGGUAUGAGAUGGACGCGCGUUCGAUUAGCCAGUUGGCCGGGUAACGGCCCACCAAAGCGACGAUCGAUAGCCGAUCUGAGAGGAUGACCGGCCACAUUGGGACUGAGACACGGCCCAAACUCCUACGCGAGGCAGCAGUGGGGAAUAUUGCACAAUGGGGGAAACCCUGAUGCAGCGACGCCGGGUGAGUGAAGAAGUAUGUCGGUAUGUAAAGCUCUAUCAGAAGGGAAGAAAAUGACGGUACCUGAGUAAGAAGCCCCGGCUAACUACGUG